CUGGGCAGCAUUUGCCCCGGAGGUAGUAGGGUUGGGGCGCCCACACAAGUCACAUCAACGUAUGCGAUAGAGAGAGCUAAGAAGAACCCCGGUGCCGUGCUGCCGAGUCUUCGCUUCUAUUACUCCGUAGUAGAGUCCGCCUCCGGUCAGCAUUCUCUCCUUCGCUGGCGUAACGCUCACAACACAACACACAGUGUUGCGUUGUUGUCGAGUCUCAGUUUCUCUCCAUUGCGUAUACGUAUCUUCGGUACAAGAAGAAAGUUGCAAGCAACAAGGCGCAUCGUUUCAAACCGCAAAAUAAGUUUUGUUUUCGGAUCGUCCAAUUUAAAGAAAAUUCAAUUCAAAAGGAAAUGGCAGGCAAAGGCAAUGGCGGAGCUGGUGGAGACGGCGGAUCGAUCAUUUGGAGCAUCAUCUGGUUCCUGAUUCUCAUCUUUGUCGGUUUCUGGCUGGGCGGUUUCUGCGCAGGUUUCCACAUUCUCUUCCAGCCCUUCUCCGUCUGCAUUGAGGGAUGCUCGGGUAUUCAAGAGAUCCUGCUCAAAGGAUUCCAUUUCCCGAGAACCUGCGCCGAGAACAUGAUGGCCGGAAAAUCAGGAUUU